CAAUAACUGAUAUUGUUCCUAGGAAUCUCCUCAAGCAGCUAGGGUGAAAGUUCUAGCAAGUGGAAACGCAACUGAAAGGAGAUUCAGUGUUUGGAUAGGAGGCAGUAUAUUGGCAUCACUUGGUUCCUUUCAGCAGAUGUGGUUCUCCAAAUCUGAGUUUGAAGAGCAUGGAGCUUCAUAUAUUCAACGGAAAUGCCCUUGAAUAUGCAAUGCUUUUGGCAUAUUCAGUCAUUGUUUCUUAAUUAAUUAGCACUUGACUGGAUCCAAGUUCUGCAUUAUUUGCUAGUACUUUUUGCUACAAGAAUAGUACCCCUAUGUAACACCGGGAGAUUUGUAUGUAUGUAUCCGAGUUUCUGCAACAUUCGUCUUUCGCAACUCACGGUUCGUUGUGGAGAUGUGUAUGACCUUGCAAUUCAUGUUUAUUUGAAGUUUAUGUUUGAGUA